AGGAUGAACGCUGGCGGCGUGCUUAACACAUGCAAGUCGAACGAUGAUGCCCACUUGUGGGUGGAUUAGUGGCGAACGGGUGAGUAACACGUGAGUAACCUGCCCUUAACUCUGGGAUAAGCCUGGGAAACUGGGUCUAAUACCGGAUAUGACUCCUCAUCGCAUGGUGGGGGGUGAAAGCUUUAUUGUGGUUUUGGAUGGACUCGCGGCCUAUCAGCUUGUUGGUGAGGUAAUGGCUCACCAAGGCGACGAC
rnacentral:rRNA from 1 species